rnacentral:rRNA from 1 species
UACGUAGGGUGCGAGCGUUGUCCGGAAUUAUUGGGCGUAAAGAGCUCGUAGGCGGUUUGUCACGUCUGCUGUGAAAUCCCGAGGCUCAACCUCGGGCCUGCAGUGGGUACGGGCAGACUGGAGUGCGGUAGGGGAGAAUGGAAUUCCUGGUGUAGCGGUGGAAUGCGCAGAUAUCAGGAGGAACACCGAUGGCGAAGGCAGUUCUCUGGGCCGUAACUGACGCUGAGGAGCGAAGGCGUGGGGAGCGAACAGG